rnacentral:rRNA from 2 species
CAGAAGUCUGACGGAGCACGCCGCGUGAGUGAUGAAGGCUUUCGGGUCGUAAAACUCUGUUGUUAGGGAAGAACAAGUGCUAGUUGAAUAAGCUGGCACCUUGACGGUACCUAACCAGAAAGCCACGGCUACUACGUGCCAGCAGCCGCGGUAAUACGUAGGUGGCAAGCGUUAUCCGGAAUUAUUGGGCGUAAAGCGCGCGCAGGUGGUUUCUUAAGUCUGAUGUGAAAGCCCACGGCUCAACCGUGGAGGGUCAUUGGAAACUGGGAGACUUGAGUGCAGAAGAGGAAAGUGGAAUUCCAUGUGUAGCGGUGAAAUGCGUAGAGAUAUGGAGGAACACCAGUGGCGAAGGCGACUUUCUGGUCUGUAACUGACACUGAGCGGAAAGCGUGGGGAGCAAACAGGAUAGAUACCCUGGUAGUCC